GUGGGGAAUUUUGGACAAUGGGCGGAAGCCUGAUCCAGCCAUGCCGCGUGAGUGAAGAAGGCCUUCGGGUUGUAAAGCUCUUUCGGUGGGGAAGAAAUUGCACGGGCUAAUAUCCUGUGUAGAUGACGGUACCCGACUAAGAAGCACCGGCUAACUACGUGCCAGCAGCCGCGGUAAUACGUAGGGUGCGAGCGUUAAUCGGAAUUACUGGGCGUAAAGCGUGCGCAGGCGGUUUGGUAAGUCAGAUGUGAAAGCCCCGGGCUCAACCUGGGAACUGCAUUUGAGACUGCCAGGCUGGAGUGUGGCAGAGGGGGGUGGAAUUCCACGUGUAGCAGUGAAAUGCGUAGAGAUGUGGAGGAACACCGAUGGCGAAGGCAGCCCCCUGGGUCACUACUGACGCUCAUGCACGAAAGCGUGGGGAGCAAACAGGAUUAGAUACCCUAGUAGUCC
rnacentral:rRNA from 1 species